ensembl:lncRNA
CAAAAGUACAUAAGAAAAAUUAAAUUUAAAAUGAAACCUGAAAAUAUAAAUGCUCAUUCAAACUGAUUGAAAGUAUUUAUUUUUUAUUGUCUUAGUUGAUCUUCCAUCUUGGUCUUUUGGUAUAAUCGGGCGCUUUACUGAUGGUUAGAUUGGGAAACCAUCGUAAUCCAGCUACAACUAUCACAAAUCAUUUUAGGAGGGAAUUUGCAACAUAUGCUUCUAAACUGUAAUUAUUAAAACUAAAUUUAAUAAUACGAUAUUUAUGAUUCUCAGGGUCAUAAAUAGAAUUUAUUGCAUUAAAUAUAUCUACCAUUUUGCAUACGGCUGUUUAAAAUGUUUAUAAGUGCAUAUUAAUGUGUUCUGUUUUCUGCAUUAAGCAGUAUCCAAUCUGUUUGUACAGUAUUUACUAGUAUUCCAUUCUGAAUAUACCCAGACUGUGGUCAAGUUUUCAACACCUUGUAGUUAUAUGAGUAACAUGCUUUUCCCCAAUGUAUUUCUCCAGGUUUCCUCCCCUCAUAUAAAACACAAAAAGAGAACUCAGACACCACCCGGGGUGUGCGGCUGGAGCAGAAGCUCCUUUGUGAGGCUGUGUUAUAGGAGACGGAGCAGAACGGGGGUGAAGCGGAGGCAUUAAGUGUGGCAGACGCCCCUUUGUGUGUCGGUCACAAUGCUGAAGUGAAAGAAGGCAGGAUGCUUAACAUGCAAAUGAGACGAGAGAGAAGGGGAGGUCAGGGAAAUCACUCAAUGUCACAUUAACAAGUGCUCGUUCCAUGAUGGGGUAUUAAAUGCUGAGUGUGAGAGUACUGCAGCUGCAUCUCGUUCUGUGGCAUUUACCUCUGCCAAUUCAGAAUGAUCCCAAAGAGAUCAGUUCAGAUGAAGAAAAAAAAAAUAUGUAUAUCACUGAUUGAUUAUUUUAUCCCAUUGACACAUGGCAUGUGAUCAUCCAUCAACUGUUUGACCUUGUGAAUGCAAAUGAACUAUAAGGAGUGGCAGAAAUUACCUCACUAUCUCACCAGUCGAUUUUGUAGGUGCUUAGAAUGGCAUACUGUACUGCCAUAUUGAAAUAUAAUUAAAAAAAAAAAAAAAAUCCAUUUGUAUGGUUUAAAUAUUUUAUUAUAAUGAAAUAUAUUUAAAUAUUAAAUGAAUAUUAGAGUUGAAGCAUUAAAAUUACUUAUAACAAUAAAUUGAAACCUUAGUAGUAAUGUAAGAAUACAUAAAUACAAAAUUACUAAAAAAUAAUAAUAAUAAUAAUCUAAAUUUAAAAUGUAAUGAAUGUUUUAUUCAUUAAAAACUAUAACAGUAUAUACAGUAAAUAAUACCAAAUUAAAACUUUGUGGAAUACUUUAUUGCACAAUUCAAUAUGCUUGACUUAACUUUUAAUUUCCAGAAUUAAUAUCAGUUGCUAUUUUAAACAACUCUUUCUUGAAUCGUUGUCUGAAUUAUGAUUAACCUAUAGCAUACUUCUCUUAUAUUUCUAUAUGGCAGCUGAUAUUUAUUUCAGUUAAUUUGUCAUGGCAGGAAUAUUUAGAGUAGUAGUUUGCUCUUCAACAUAACUGAACAUACUGAAGUCAUGUGAAAAACAUCUGUUUGAAACAUUUAUGGUUGCUUACAGCACUACUGCACAUAAAUAAAACAAUAAUAUGCAGUAGUAUGUACUGCACUGUAUUCAGUAAGGGUGUAUGCUAGUGUUCCAUUUCAAAUAUAGGCUGUCUGAUGAUCUGUUUUUAAUUCUCUGGAUCUCCAUCUUAAUAUCUGCAUCCAUUUAGUUAUUUCCAUCUUUCCAGUUAGUAUUAUGAUUCUUUCAUUAUUAACUCCUGUGCUCAAAUCCAAACUCAUUUGACUACUUGUCAUUUCUUCUCCUUCUUACUAGAUUUUCUGUCUUUUUUCACACUUCACAUCUCUCUCUUCAUCACUGUGAUCUGUGUGUCUGCCCAUUUGGUUUAGUGUUAAAGUCAAUGAGAGAGGAAAUUCAGUUUGUGCCUUCAUAAGGAAUGGCUGAGUUUAGGUCAUCAUGCUUUCUUCAAUACCAUUUACAGAUAUAACUGAGUUUUCUUUGAUUUAUGUUGCUAUUCCACUCUGGAUUUUUGUAAGAAAGCUAUAAAUGCUUCUGGGUUAUGCUGCUCAUACUUGCUGAUCUCAUGUCUCUUCCUAAAGCUCUAUAAAUAUUUUAGAUGGUGGUGGGUAAUAACCGUCCCCAUAAAUGCUCCCUUCAACUGUCUGUGGUAUUUACACCAGCCCUAUACUGAUUUAAAGGCCAUACAGCUCACAUUCUUACCAGGGGUAAAUUCACAGCUGUACCUAUUCAUUUUCUGGCAGAGAAAGGUCACACAGGGUGACUGUCAGGGUCAGGGUGACUUUCUAAACUCAGUCAAGCAAUAAAACUUCCAGAGAUGUAGCAUAAAGAAAUAGGCCCAUGAUAUUUCUAUGAAUGUAAUCAUGCAUUGUAAAUGCAUGCACAAACAAUUGAAUUCUACACAAUGUGACUUUUUCAAGAGUCAGUAUAUUUAGUAUUAAUAAGCAUUUGUUUUAGAUGUGCUACAGAAUACGAGAAGUAAUGAAAUUUUAAAAAGUGCAGAGAAGAGAAAUGCGAUUUAAAAUCGUAAGACAGUGCUGCCCUCUAAUGGUUAGAUGUAUGUCAGUAGCCAAUGUAGGCUACGUUAUACUGAAACAUUCCUGCACACACAGUUUGAAGGGUGUCAUUUGUUAGACCUAUAAAUCUGUAUCCAAAGCUUUCGUUGUGGUUGUUGAGAAAACUGCCGAAAAUACAACGUGUAUCCUAUAAAUGAGUGUUGUUAAAAUAUUUGAUUGGCACUGCAUUUAUUGGUACCCCAAAAAAGGAUAGGAGCAACAGACAACAAUUUUGUAGUAUUUGUAUUGUUACUUUUUUAGUUUCACUUUAUGUAAUUUUACACUACUUUUUCAUUUGUAAACAUUAAGUAUUUGCACUACACUGAUGGAGAAAGAAAAAAAGACAGAAAUUCUAAUGGUUUCCACUAAAAAUACUAUUACAAACAUUACAAACCAUCAACCAUUAAACAUAAAAUAUAUAAAGUGUUUUGGAACAUAUUCCAUUAGGAUUUAGUGUUUUUAUCAAGACAAAUUACCACAGAGCCCCACGGCGACAAGUACAGUUGCCAUUAAAACCAAUACAAUUUCCAUUAUAACCAGUAAAACCGUUACAAAUUCUGUGAUGGUUUCUAUUUUUUUUUUUUUUUCAGCAUAAUGUCAAUGUAUUUUACUUAGCACACAUUUUGAGCGCAGCUUAGCUGUCAUUGCAGUUUUUGUCAUGCUAAUACGGCACACGUAAAUUGAAAGAUUAAAUUGAGAGAUAAAUAACAUUCAGUUGCAAUAGCCUUCCUGAUAAUGUUCGGGGUUCAGACACACUUCCUCUGUUUAAAUCUAGAUUAAAAACACACCUCUUUGGCCAAGCAUUCAAAUAAUGCAUCUCAUAAUUUUGGACUGCAGUUAUAUCUGAUCAAAUGUGCAUUAUUAUUCUUUAACUUGGGUUAAACUAAUUAAUUUUACUUGGCUGGAACAGCAGCUACGCUAAUUAUGUUUCUUUUUGUUUCUCUGCUUUGCCACGGGAUUUACAUCCUGUGGUAACUAGGAUUUACACAAGCUCCAGUCUGGA